rnacentral:rRNA from 1 species
CCUACGGGUCGCACCAGUGGGGAAUAUUGGACAGUGGGCGAAAGCCUGAUCCAGCAAUGCCGCGUGUGUGAGGAAGGUCUUCGGAUUGUAAAGCACUUUCGACGGGGACGAUGAUGACGGUACCCGUAGAAGAAGCCCCGGCUAACUUCGUGCCAGCAGCCGCGGUAAUACGAAGGGGGCUAGCGUUGCUCGGAAUGACUGGGCGUAAAGGGCGCGUAGGCGGUUUAUGCAGUCAGAUGUGAAAUCCCCGGGCUUAAGCUGGCAACUGCAUUUGAGACGCAUAGACUAGAGGUCGAGAGAGGGUUGUGGAAUUCCCAGUGUAGAGGUGAAAUUCGUAGAUAUUGGGAAGAACACCGGUGGCGAUGGCGGCAACCUGGCUCGAUACCGACGCUGAGGCGCGAAAGCGUGGGGAGCAAACAGGAUUAGAUACCCCUGUAGUC